AAGAAAGGUGGAUACACACAAAGAAAGCAGCAUGACAUGAGCGUUGAGUCUUCAAGCCAGGACGAAACAACUCGGGAAUUUUUUCAUUUCAACUUCGGUUACGUUUUUACUUCUGCUGCUUCAAAAGCAUUUCUUCGGGAAUGAUUCAGGGACUGAUACUCGUAUGUAUGGCACUUCCCUUUGCGCGCAGAACGGACGCCGAAGACACAUCCACAGGAGAUUUAAUAGAGUGCCAACGAGGUCAAAAGCGAAUAGUUCAUCUAGGAGGCUUGGAGAUGCAUCGAUGACAGCACCCCUACCAGAGAGGCAGCUCGUGGGUGCGAUAGUGAGGUUGCGAUGACGAUCAUGGCGCAUUGCAUUAGGGCUCAUAUGUUCGAGAUAGCGCCUGUAAGCUACAAGUACGCAGUACUGAGGUACCUAGAUGACCUUGUGGUGUGCAUGGCGGAGUUUCUGCAACGGCCACUAGCGUACUUGCAAAGAGCUUUUCAAAGCACUAUAUGAGCCGACGGCGACGAGACCGUUGCCGAACACGCGGGCCGCGUCAACGAAUGCACUCUACUCGGCAUUGGUUGCCGAUUGCGAAUUGUGACUGGACGUACCCACCACCGAACUUACAGUGACUUUGUAUUAAAUCCUCGACUCAU